rnacentral:sRNA from 1 species
GAGUCGGGUCAGACCACGACUUUAGGACGC